rnacentral:rRNA from 1 species
AUCAGCGCGCCUACCAUGCAAGUCGAGCGAGCUCUUCGGAGCUAGCGGCGGACGGGUUAGUAACGCGUGGGAACGUGCCCUUCACUGCGGAAUAGCCACUGGAAACGGUGAGUAAUACCGCAUACGCCCUUCGGGGGAAAGAUUUAUCGGUGAAGGAUCGGCCCGCGUUAGAUUAGAUAGUUGGUGGGGUAACGGCCUACCAAGUCUACGAUCUAUAGCUGGUUUUAGAGGAUGAUCAGCAACACUGGGACUGAGACACGGCCCAGACUCCUACGGGAGGCAGCAGUGGGGAAUCUUGGACAAUGGGCGCAAGCCUGAUCCAGCCAUGCCGCGUGAGUGAUGAAGGCCUUAGGGUCGUAAAGCUCUUUCGCCAGAGAUGAUAAUGACAGUAUCUGGUAAAGAAACCCCGGCUAACUCCGUGCCAGCAGCCGCGGUAAUACGGAGGGGGUUAGCGUUGUUCGGAAUUACUGGGCGUAAAGCGCACGUAGGCGGAUCAGAAAGUUGGGGGUGAAAUCCCGGGGCUCAACCCCGGAACUGCCUCCAAAACUCCUGGUCUUGAGUUCGAGAGAGGUGAGUGGAAUUCCGAGUGUAGAGGUGAAAUUCGUAGAUAUUCGGAGGAACACCAGUGGCGAAGGCGGCUCACUGGCUCGAUACUGACGCUGAGGUGCGAAAGUGUGGGGAGCAAACAGGAUUAGAUACCCUGGU